GGUUAGGGUUAGGGUUAGGGAAAUGUCUGGGGUUAUUGUUAGGGCUGAGGCUAGGGUUAGGGUUAGGGUUAGGGAAAUGGCUGGGGUUAGGGUUAGGGCUGAGGCUAGGGUUAGGGUUAGGGUUAGGGAAAUGGCUGGGGUUAGGGUUAGGGUUAGGGUUAGGGUUAGGGAAAUGGCUGGGGUUAGGGUUAGGGCUGAGGCUAGGGUUAGGGUUAGGGUUAGGGAAAUGGCUGGGGUUAGGGUUAGGGCUGAGGCUAGGGUUAGGGUUAGGGUUAGGGAAAUGGCUGGGGUUAGGGUUAGGGCUGAGGCUAGGGUUAGGGUUAGGGAAAUGGCUGGGGUUAGGGUUAGGGCUGAGGCUAGGGUUAAACCGAGGUGUGAACAUGAAGCUAGGGUUAGGGUUAGGGAAAUGGCUGGGGUUAGGGUUAAACCGAGGUGUGAACAUGAGGCUAGGUUUAGGGAAAUGGCUGGGGUUAGGGUUAAACCGAGGUGUGAACAUGAGGCUAGGGUUAGGGUUAGGGAAAUGGCUGGGGUUAGGGUUAAACCGAGGUGUGAACAUGAAGCUAGGGUUAGGGUAGGAUGAUUCUCCAAGAACACCAGGGAGAAUUGUCACUUGUUUUCCCCUUUCUGCAGAUUCUUUGUGCAGAGUGAGAGAGAAAGACAGAGAAAGAGAGUUGAAUACAUGUAUUCAUUCAUUUGAGGGGCAGUAUGCAUAGAGUCUGUUGGGACACCGAGUUCCAAGUCUUCCCUUACAUCACCCCUCGUGGCGCAUGUUGG
ensembl:lncRNA